AAGUCGUAACAAGGUUUCCGUAGCCGUAGGUGAACCUGCGGAAGGAUCAUUAACACGUAUCCAACGUUAAACCCCCCGUGAACCUUCAGUGCGCUCGCACUUUCUUACGAAUGGCGCAGUCACGAUCGCUAGAGGCCGACACGGCCGGCGACCGGGUCACUGGGCGCGAGCCCCCCUCGUCACCUUUGCAUGAAAACGGGCCUGCGCUUAAUUGUGCGGCACCAAACUCGAACAACUGUUAACAAUGGAUAUCUUG
rnacentral:misc_RNA from 1 species